rnacentral:rRNA from 1 species
UACGAAGGGGGCUAGCGUUGCUCGGAAUCACUGGGCGUAAAGCGCACGUAGGCGGCUCUGCAAGUCGGAUGUGAAAUCCCUCGGCUCAACCAAGGAAGUGCAUCCGAAACUGCGGAGCUUGAGUACUUAAGAGGAUCGCGGAAUUCCCGGUGUAGAGGUGAAAUUCGUAGAUAUCGGGAGGAACACCAGUGGCGAAGGCGGCGAUCUGGGAAGAUACUGACGCUGAGGUGCGAAAGCGUGGGGAGCAAACAGG